rnacentral:rRNA from 1 species
AUUGAACGCUGGCGGCAUGCCUUACACAUGCAAGUCGAACGGCAGCACGGGAGCAAUCCUGGUGGCGAGUGGCGAACGGGUGAGUAAUAUAUCGGAACGUGCCCAGUCGUGGGGAUAACGUAGCGAAAGCUACGCUAAUACCGCAUACGAUCUAUGGAUGAAAGCGGGGGAUCGCAAGACCUCGCGCGAUUGGAGCGGCCGAUAUCAGAUUAGGUAGUUGGUGAGGUAAAGGCUCACCAAGCCGACGAUCUGUAGCUGGUCUGAGAGGACGACCAGCCACACUGGGACUGAGACACGGCCCAGACUCCUACGGGAGGCAGCAGUGGGGGAAUUUUUGGGACAAUGGGCGCAAGCCUGAUCCAGCAAUGCCGCGUGCAGGAUGAAGG